CUUGUCUUUCACAUCACCAUUGCCACUGCUGAAACGUAUCAUCCGCAGUCUCACUGUGCUUACAUUCACUCUUCAGUCUCCAUAAACAUUCAGCAAGCAUCAAUGAAUGUCAGUAGGUGCAACUUUAUUCCACGCGGGUGCUACUUUGUUCCACACUGGGGAAUUCAGUGAUACACCUUUGCUUCACAUGCACUUCCAUGUCAGAUGUCAUUUUGUCAGCUGCUUCUCUGCUGCUGUCUGUCACACAUCAACAAAAUGUAAUGGAGUACUGAUGGAAAAGUUCAACCUCUACUGCCAUCCCAUGACAUCUGCCUCUGACAUCAUGGACCAACAUUAUAAAAAUAGGAGGCAUUACUUUUGGAGCACCCCUGUACUUAGGAUGUGAAAGUGGAUCAUCAAGAAGGAGAAAAUAUGAUUAUAUCUGUUCCUGCCAAGUCCUUGAUUUUGGAGAAGUACAACCCAAUGGCACUGCAAGAGCUUACUUGUAUUCAGCCUGGAGACAAGCUGAGGAAUGAGGUUUGAAGAGGCAGAAAAGUUGUAACAAAUACCCCAAGCUAAAAUACAAAGCUCAAAAUCAGGAUGUAGCUGGAACUGCUGAUAACAGUAAUUUCCACGUAGUGCCUGAUGGAUGGGGUUAAUUUCUAGAAUACUUUUCUGAAAAGAGAGAGGCAUUUACUAUUUGUGUGUGUGUGUGAGGAAGAAUUGAUUGUUAUAUUUUAAGCUUAUUUAAUUUUGGAACACAUUUCUAGUCACACGAAGAAGAAGGUAACUAGGAACAGCCAGCACAGAUUUACCAAUGAUUUGCCAUGCUUGAGCAACUCAAUUGCCCUGUAGAUGAGUGGAGAGGAGUAGAUUGAUUUUUGCACAAUAGCCUUGUAUUCUGUUAGGAUGUGAAUGUCUGGAUGAGCGGAAAACAGUGUAGAAAAUGCAGUUGAAUGAUUGGGCUCAAGUGGUAGAAGGUAGCACAUUAUACCUUACCUGGAGGCAGGUAACAAACUGUUUGAGGGCACUUUCAUCAUAUUUGUGAAUGGGCUCAUUCUGAGGGGCAUAACUCAAUGCCCUCAAAGGAAGAUCUGCUCUUCAAGAGGCACUUUGACAUGCAGAAGGCAUUCAUGAGCUGACUGGAAUCUCAUGAAAUUCAUCAGAGACAAAAGCAGUCCUGCAUCUGGAAAAAAGAGCCCUUGACAGAGUUGUGGGCUAAGGACAGCUGUGCAUUGUUGGAGAUUCAGAGAAAAUGGGCAUACGCUGAAAAUAUUUCUUCAUAGUGAGAACAGUUGUGCAGGGACAUGACUUGCUCAGAGGAUGGAUCAGAGACCCCUGAGGUACCUUCCAGCCCAAACUGCCCUACGUUACUAUACUUCUCUGUAACAUUACAGUUUGGUUUAAAAGUAGAAGAAAACCUGAAGGAUUACUGUGGUUGUUGGUGGGAUUUUAUUUCAGCCAACCUUGUAGAGGAAGGAGAUGCUUAGAGAAAUGUGCCCACAAGUGACAUGCAGCUGCCAGCACUGUCUGCUUCUUUUCUGUGAGAGGGAGAGCUCGGGCACCUGAAGUUGGGCUGGGGACAGGCACUGGCACAAGGGAUGUGGAGGCUGAGGGACCCUCCUUGUUGACACGUUAGACCUAGCUCCAUUUACUUCUCUGUAUUACUCAGAGAGACUGGGACAUGAUAGCAAAAGAGCAAGAUUGGUCCAGGCUGAUGCUAAAUUCAGUGAGAGACUUUGGGUUUUCCUUUGAGAAGCCAUUGCAUAGCAUGCAGCUGGAACAAAAGCCUGUCAGAGAAAUGGAAAAUUUCUAUAAGAAUAUAAAACUGUAAUGGAUGCUUCAGCUGCAAACUCAUGUGGAGGGUUGUUUAUUUUCCGUAGAAAAUGACUACACCUUGUAAUAAGGAAAGCAAUAUGCACAUUCAGAUUUUCGAUAAAAGAAAAUAUAUCACCCUGACAUUUUAUUAUAGAGUAAUAUAAUCUCUGUAUUCAGCAGACUAAUGGAUACUGUUCCAAAACAUAAGACAAUGUCACAUCAUAAAUGGCUGAUUUAAUAGGUACUACUUAUUUUAUUGGAAUUUCUUGUGAAUUAAAUUGGUGUUCACGCCUGUAAAAUAUGUUUUGCUAUUAUGACUUAAAGUUACUAAGAAAGACCAUGUUCCUUUACCUUUCCACUGCAUUGCCUAACGUGCUGCUCUUUUCUGUCACGGAGUCUCUGCCAGCUGCUUCUACUUCUAUCUGGACCAGCAGAAAUGUUUCUGAAGUAUGCUAGUCUUCUGUCACAAUCUGUCUGGGGUUUGCACAACAUCCCAAGUGCAGGUCCCACCAGUCAACACUGCAGAAUACAAGCCAGAAAGCUAUGACAAAAGUUUUG
ensembl:lncRNA